rnacentral:rRNA from 1 species
AACGUAGGAGACAAACGUUAUCCGGAGUUACUGGGCGUAAAGGGCGUGCAGGCGGCCUGUUAAGUCUGGCGUGAAAGCUUCCGGCUAAACCGGGAGAGGUCGUUGGAUACUGGCAGGCUUGAGGACGGUAGAGGCGAGUGGAAUUCCGGGUGUAGUGGUGAAAUGCGUAGAGAUCCGGAGGAACACCAGUGGCGAAGGCGACUCGCUGGGCCGUACCUGACGCUAAGACGCGACAGCAUGGGGAGCGAACGGGAUUAGAAACCCUCGUAGUCC